GAAAGUGUAACAGAGCGGUGAAGGCGACUCCAGGAUAAGAAGAAGAAGUUCCAGUUCGAGGUUAGGAGUCAAAAUCAUUAGGAUCAUAAGCAAGCGGUGGUGCAAAUGGAGUUCCAGUUCUCAAGUAGUCUCAAAGAGAAUCAUCUGCCCCCAGAAAACAAAGUGAAGUAAAAGAAAAAGCCAAAGAGUUAGUGUAUUUACAAACGAC
rnacentral:lncRNA from 1 species